rnacentral:snRNA from 1 species
GAAUAUGAGGAUGAUCUGGCUGUGACAUCUGUCACGCCAUUGAUCACUGGAGUUGAUUCCACUGAAUUAGUUGACUAGGUGGGUGUCUCCUUUCUCACCACUCCAUGUACCACCCUCCUGAAGCUGCAGUUGCACCCAUGGUUGAAAAGACGACCUUCCCAGAUAGAGAAGGACCAUUCUGAAGUCCAGAGAAUACUGAGUACCGCACUCCCUAGAAACUCCAAACAAGCAUUCAAGAAAGGCUGGUAGCUCAAUGGUAGAAUACUUGCUAAGCAUGCCUUGAGCUCUAUCCCCAGUAAAU